CUGACCUGCCCAGUGAUUAUUUUAACGGCCGCGGUAUACUGACCGUGCAAAGGUAGCAUAAUCAUUAGUCUUUUAAUAGGGGGCUGGAAUGAAAGGUUUCACGAGGAACUGACUGUCUCAUUUUAUUUGUUUUAAAAUUUAAUUUUUUAGUUAAAAAGCUAAAAUUUUAUUGGAAGACGAGAAGACCCUAUAGAUCUUUAUAAAAAAAUAUUUAAAUAUUAAUAUAUAAUCAUAAUUAUUUAUUUUUUUAUUUUAUUGGGGUGAUAAAAAUAUAAAAUCAACUUUUUUAUUUAUUUAACAUUGAUUUAUGAAUAUAUGAUCCAAUAUUAUUGAUUAUUAGAUUAAGUUACCUUAGGGAUAACAGCGUAAUCCUCCUCCAGAGUUCAUAUUUACAGGAUGGGCUUGCGACCUCGAUGUUGGAUUAAGAUAAUAGUCAGGUGUAGCUGCUUGAUUUAUAGGUCUGUUCGACCUUUAA
rnacentral:rRNA from 1 species